GAUGAACGCUGGCGGCGUGCCUAACACAUGCAAGUCGAGCGAAGCGCUGUUUUCAGAAUCUUCGGAGGAAGAGGACAGUGACUGAGCGGCGGACGGGUGAGUAACGCGUGGGCAACCUGCCUCAUACAGGGGGAUAACAGUUAGAAAUGACUGCUAAUACCGCAUAAGCGCACAGGACCGCAUGGUGUAGUGUGAAAAACUCCGGUGGUAUGAGAUGGACCCGCGUCUGAUUAGGUAGUUGGUGGGGUAAAGGCCUACCAAGCCGACGAUCAGUAGCCGACCUGAGAGGGUGACCGGCCACAUUGGGACUGAGACACGGCCCAAACUCCUACGGGAGGCAGCAGUGGGGAAUAUUGCACAAUGGGGGAAACCCUGAUGCAGCGACGCCGCGUGAAGGAAGAAGUAUUUCGGUAUGUAAACUUCUAUCAGCAGGGAAGAAGAUGACGGUACCUGAGUAAGAAGCACCGGCUAAAUACGUGCCAGCAGCCGCGGUAAUACGUAUGGUGCAAGCGUUAUCCGGAUUUACUGGGUGUAAAGGGAGCGUAGACGGAUAGGCAAGUCUGGAGUGAAAACCCAGGGCUCAACUCUGGGACUGCUUUGGAAACUGCAGAUCUGGAGUGCCGGAGAGGUAAGCGGAAUUCCUAGUGUAGCGGUGAAAUGCGUAGAUAUUAGGAGGAACACCAGUGGCGA
rnacentral:rRNA from 1 species